UGGGGAAUUUUGGACAAUGGGGGAAACCCUGAUCCAGCCAUCCCGCGUGUGCGAUGAAGGCCUUCGGGUUGUAAAGCACUUUUGGCAGGAAAGAAACGUCGCGGGUUAAUACCCCGCGAAACUGACGGUACCUGCAGAAUAAGCACCGGCUAACUACGUGCCAGCAGCCGCGGUAAUACGUAGGGUGCAAGCGUUAAUCGGAAUUACUGGGCGUAAAGCGUGCGCAGGCGGUUCGGAAAGAAAGAUGUGAAAUCCCAGAGCUUAACUUUGGAGCUGCAUUUUUAACUACCGGGCUAGAGUGUGUCAGAGGGAGGUGGAAUUCCGCGUGUAGCAGUGAAAUGCGUAGAUAUGCGGAGGAACACCGAUGGCGAAGGCAGCCUCCUGGGAUAACACUGACGCUCAUGCACGAAAGCCUGGGGAGCAAACAGGAUUAGAUACCCUGGUAGUCCACGCCCUAAACGAUGUCAACUAGCUGUUGGGGCCUUCGGGCCUUGGUAGCGCAGCUAACGCGUGAAGUUGACCGCCUGGGGAGUACGGUCGCAAGAUUAAAACUCAAAGGAAUU
rnacentral:rRNA from 1 species